UACGGAGGGCGCAAGCGUUAUCCGGAUUCACUGGGUUUAAAGGGUGCGUAGGUGGGUCUGUAAGUCAGUGGUGAAAUCUUCGAGCUUAACUCGGAAACUGCCAUUGAUACUAUGGAUCUUGAAUUUUCUGGAGGUAAGCGGAAUAUGUCAUGUAGCGGUGAAAUGCUUAGAUAUGACAUAGAACACCAAUUGCGAAGGCAGCUUACUACGGGAACAUUGACACUGAGGCACGAAAGCGUGGGGAUCAAACAGG
rnacentral:rRNA from 1 species